rfam:Picea glauca, whole genome shotgun sequence.
UUUUGAGGAUGAGGAAAAAAGUUGCAAAACAGUUAUCCCUGUCUGAAUAACAAUGUUGACAGGUUACUUCUGACUCAAUA